UGCGGGGUCGUCUAACGUGGUAAGACACGGGCGCUUUGAACGCUUGUAUCUGGGUUCGAGCCCUAGCCCCGCAU
rnacentral:tRNA from 1 species